UGAGGGAAAGUUGCAAAGCACUUUGAAGAGAGAGUUAAAGAGGACGUGAAACCGAUAAGGUGGAAACGGAUAGAGCCGACGUAUCUUGCUUGUAUUCAGCCAUGAGACUGUUGCAUUCUAGUUAAUUGGUCCCGUUUUGGGCUGAUUGGCUAGUUUUGUAGCUUUCUCAGGGUGCAUUUACAAGUAUUGUGCGCUGAAAACCACAUGGACGCGACUAGAUCAGUAUUUUGAGGUCUUCAUUAUGAAGAAACCCGGAUAUUGGGAAGGUUGAUGUCUGUGUGUGGAUAGUUGUUCAUGGUUCGGUUGAAUAGCUAGUUGGUGACUGUCUCGGUUUUGGUCGCAUGCGACCUUACCUUGAUGGGCUCUAGCUGGUUAGUAGGCCCCAUGACUGUUUUCAGUGUAAAAGUCGGUCAUCUCUCCGACCCGUCUUGAAACACGGACCAAGGAGUUUAGCAAGUGUGCGAGUCAUUGAGUGUAAAACUCAAAGGCACAAUGAAAGUAAAGGUUUGGCUUGACCAACUUAUAUGUGAUCCUGCUAAUUUCGGUUAGUGGGAGCAGCAUAGCCCCGUCCCAACUGCAUGCAGUGAGGCGGAGGAAGAGCAUACUUGCUGAGACCCGAAAGAUGGUGAACUAUGCCUGAGCAGGACGAAGCCAGAGGAAACUCUGGUGGAAGUCCGGAGCGGUUCUGACGUGCAAAUCGAUCGUCUGACUUGGGUAUAGGGGCGAAAGACUAAUCGAACCAUCUAGUAGCUGGUUCCUUCCGA
rnacentral:rRNA from 1 species